rnacentral:rRNA from 1 species
GACGAACGCUGGCGGCGUGCUUAACACAUGCAAGUCGAACGGUGAAGGCGGAGCUUGCUCUGCUGGAUCAGUGGCGAACGGGUGAGUAACACGUGAGCAAUCUGCCCCUGACUCUGGGAUAAGCGCUGGAAACGGCGUCUAAUACUGGAUACGAGCUGCGAAGGCAUCUUCAGCAGCUGGAAAGAAUUUCGGUCAGGGAUGAGCUCGCGGCCUAUCAGCUUGUUGGUGAGGUAAUGGCUCACCAAGGCGUCGACGGGUAGCCGGCCUGAGAGGGUGACCGGCCACUCGGGGACGGGAUCACGGCCCAGAUUCCUACGGGGGGCGGAGUGGGGGAUUAUUGCACAAGGGGCGAAGGCCUGAUGCAGCAACGCCGCUUGGGGGACGACGGCCUUCGGGUGGUAAACCUCUUUUAGCAGGGAAGAAGCGAAAGUGACGGUACCUGCAGAAAAAGCGCCGGCUAACUACGU